rnacentral:rRNA from 1 species
CCCUUAGGUGUUCUGGGCCGCACGCGCGCUACACUGACUGGUGCAACAAGUGUCUGACCUUGGCUCGAGAGGCCUGGGCAACCUUUGAACGCCAGUCGUGCUGGGGAUAGAUUCUUGCAAUUAUUAAUCUUCAACGAGGAAUUCCUAGUAAACGCAAGUCAUCAGCUUGCAUUGAUUACGUCCCUGCCCUUUGUACACACCGCCCGUCGCACCUACCGAUUGAAUGGUCCGGUGAAAUCUCGGGACGGCGGCUUGGUCGCUUGCGUCCGACUGCUGAAACUUGAUUAAACCAUAUCAUUUAGAGGAAGGUGAAGUCGUANCA